UUAGGUAAGGUUAGUUAAGGUCAGGUAAGGUAAUGUAAAGUUAGGGGAUCAACAAUGUUCGCCGUUCACAGGUAAGGUUAAGUAAGAUAAGGUUUGGUUUGGUAAGGUAAGCUAAGGUUAGGUUAGAUAAGGUAAGGUAAGGUUAGUUAAGUAAGGUCAGGUUUGGUUAAGUAAGGUAAGCUAAGGUUAGGUUAGAUAAGGUAAGGUAAGGUUAGUUAAGUAAGGUCAGGUUUGGUUAAGUAAGGUAAGCUAAGGUUAGGUUAGAUAAGGUAAGGUAAGGUUAGUUAAGUAAGGUAAGGUUUGGUUAAGUAAGGUAAGCUAAGGUUAGGUAAGGUAAGGUAAGGUUAGUUAAGUAAGGUAAGGUUUGGUUAAGUAAGGUAAGCUAAGGUUAGGUAAGGUAAGGUAAGGUAAGGCAAGGCAAGGUUAGGUUAGGGUACGCGAGAGUGAGUGUUGUUGUCAUUACCAUUAUUGUCAUCAGUAUCAUUAUUCUCUCUCUCUCUCUCUCUCUCUCUCUCUCUCUCUCUCUCUCUCUCUCUCUCUCUCUCUCUCUCUCUCUCUCUCUCUCUCUCUCAGUAUAGCGGUUCAAUGGGUUUUCUUUACUUAUUCACGUAUCGGGUUUUGCCUUUGUGAGUUCCUGGUUCAUUAUUUAUUCAUCACUGACGCGGCUGCAGGACCCACCGGCGGACUGGAAGGAAGGAAUGAAGGAGGGGAUUCGUUCAUUCAUUGUGUGUGUGUGUGUGUGUGUGUGUGUGUGUUGAAACUUUUAUAGAGACAAGUUGCGGGUAAAUAGGAAGUCACUCAUUCGUUUUUUAAUGAUUUUUCCUCUAGUGACCAGUCCUCCUCCUCCUCCUAGUCCUACUACUGCUGCUACCUAACAAUAGUCAUCUAGUUAAUAGCAACCUAACCCCUUUCGGCCACACACACCUAAUACCCUUGUCUUCCCU